UACGGAGGGUGCAAGCGUUGUCCGGAUUUAUUGGGUUUAAAGGGUGCGUAGGCGGUUUUAUAAGUCAGUGUUUAAAGUCUACAGCUUAACUGUAGGAAUGGCAUUGAUACUGUAAAACUUGAGUAAAGUUGAGGUAGGCGGAAUUGAAGGUGUAGCGGUGAAAUGCUUAGAUAUCUUCAAGAACACCGAUUGCGAAGGCAGCUUACUAAACUUUAACUGACGCUGAGGCACGAAAGCGUGGGGAUCAAACAGG
rnacentral:rRNA from 1 species